GCAGUGGUGGCUCAGUGGUUAAGGUGUCGGUCUUCUGUUCAGAAGGUCAUGAGUUCAAACCCCAGUGCU